AAGUCGUAACAAGGUUUCCGUAGGUGAACCUGCGGAAGGAUCAUUACCAAAUCCAAAAAAUACCCAACCCCAUGAUUUUGUCCUUUGGGGGAAAAGAAAGUAGAAAAAGUGAGGUUUAAAUGGUGUUUCUUAUCAUAGGGCUCCUUUUCCUUUCUUUUUCUGCAUAUUUUCCCCCAAAAGAAUCCUUAAAAACAUUUCGAUGUUUUUUUGUGAUUCUUGAUAAACCACAGAAUUCAAUUGUUUUGGAAUAAAUCUUAAAUUUUUUAAAUUAAAAGACAACUUUUAACGGUGGAUCUCUUGGCUCGUG
rnacentral:misc_RNA from 1 species